UGUCUUUUUGAGCCUUACAUUCCUUGGGGGUGAGAUAUCCAGAGAUGGCCUGGCCUAAGAGAGCCAGUCAAAGUGAUGCUACUGGGAAAUAUGUCAUCUUGUAAAAUUUGAUCAUUUGGUGCUCCCUGAAUUAAAUUAUGCUGGUGACAACAUUCUGGGCAUCUGAAAAUCUCUCCUCCUGGCAGUCUGAUAGAUGACCAUGCAGAAAUGAUUUAUACCAUACUCCAUUUGGGUAUUGGCAUUGAAUUCACCAGGGAUACAUGUACAACCACCCCCUAGGUGGGAUGGGACAGAGAGAAUGUGAGAUAUUGAUAAUACUCUUUCAGAAGGGUGACUGUGGUGGAUGUGGUGAACAUCAGUGUCACUACUUUGGGUGAUAGGUCUUUUGUUGUGAGCAUAGGCUGGUCAACCCUGAGGAUCUGAAUCUUGGCUUCUAAUAGAGUCUAUUUCCCUGGUGCAAUCUCCUCAAGUAUAGUUUCCUUGACUGCCGCCCCCCCCCCCCAUUCUAUACUUUGCAACAAGAGAUGUCUCUGCCCUAAGUCUUAGUGUGCCAACAUAGACAUUUUCUGAUUUCAUAAGAUCUAUGGAGAUUGAGGUCCCCCUCAAAAAUACUUGAAAUUCUUGAUCAGAGUAAUAAAAUCCAGAUUCUCCCUCCUCUUUGGCUAAUUAAGUUCCAAAUUUAAAACAAGGUUCAGUUUGAUAUUUGCAGUUGGGAUGAUGUCUUAAACCAGUGUGUUGAGCUAUUUCCCAUCAUAUGGAGGCAGGGGAGUAAGCUCUGUUAAUUUUUUCUAGUCACCAAUGUAAACAUCCCUUUGUGUGCAGUGCCAUGGCCCAAACUUGUAGCUUGCAAGAGAUACUUAUGGCCAACAAAGCUAGAAGUUUAUAGAUACAACAAGAUAACACAGAUGAGGAAAGGCCUAUUGGUUAUCUAUUUCUGAGAAGUGCCUUGGCACUUGCUUAGGUGUCUUGCUUUCCAGUUUGACAUAUUUUGAGAAGAGUUGAUUUCUUUUCACUUUAGACAAUGACCAAUUAAAUAUCUUUCCUCAAAGUCCAAAGGAAGAUUGAAAGCCCAGAUAUCCACUCAUUCUCUGAUAUUUUUUGAAUGCAGUUUCCCAAAAGCCCAAUGAGAAAUGCCAAUACUCAAAUCUAGGUCUGAUAGUUAUUCCUUCAUUUAAGAAGAGUGUAUACUCAAAUGAAUAGCUUCCUGAAAUGUCGUGUUUCUUUCUUGGAGAACUCUCCAUGCUCUAUCUACACUUAACAGCUGUGUGACAUUUAGCCGAUGACUCUGAGCCCACCUCUGGAGUGAAUACAUAAACCUGGUCCAGGCGAUUUGAUUUCUACUUUAUGCAGAAGAGAAGUAAAUCUCAGUAAAGAAGAUUUUCUUUCAUUUUUAUGCUUUUUACAUUUUUUUUUUCCCUUUUGGCUCUAUCCUCUUGCUUCCAUGGGACUGACAAUCCAGCUUCUCAAACUCCAUGAAAGUCUUAAUGUGAGGUGAAUUCCAGGACCACAAACAGUUAGGACUUCAAACAGUGAGAAAAUUGGCGCUGAAUGAUUCGGCACACAAAGCAGAAAACCUUCAUUUCCUGCAGGCAGGAUGGAAUUGACUGUUAUAUUAAGACUUGUGAAGGAGCCCUGCCCCGGAGUAAUUUUAGUGCUGUCAGACAACGUUGACAUCUAGAUUAACCUCUGUGCAGUGAAGUUUACUGCAAAGCUCAUUGAGAUGCAAGUGGUGUAUCUCCACAAAUCCUAUCUGGAACUCUCAGUGGCCCACCCUCAGCAAACCCUCAUCCCUUCCCACCCACUGCUCUCUCCAUCCAUGAACUUUUAGCCUCCAGGAGCAGAGAAGCCAGGACUGGGAUCUGACCUGAGGAAAGGGAGUUUCAACCUUUCUCUGACCACAGUACUGAGCCAAGCUUUCUGUUCAGUGGGAGUGACAGUGGUUGUCACUGUCUUGAUUUUCCCUGAGGGGACUGCACAUCAGUUAUGAAAGCCACUCUGCUGAUGACAAACAGCUUUGCAGCAUAUUUCGGUGCUGCACAAAGUGAAAUGGUUUAUAAAGAAUUAGUGUGCUCUGCAUCAGUGAGCCCUGCUCUGCCUCCCUCCUCCCCCCUGGUGCAGCAAUUCUAGGUGUGGAUGCAACAGAUCAGAACUGCUGCCAGGUAGCCAGGGGAGUAGUGGGUUCUGAUGGACAAAGGGCUUGCGCUGGGUCUGUGCUGGUGUUUCCUAUUUUCCUUAUGAGAAAGGUAGUCCCUGCUCCUCUUCUCUUGGUUGGGACAGAGUGUGCAUCUGUCCUCUAAGUCCCAGCUUGUCAGCUUUCUCCUUAUGGAGUGGUGGGCUCCACUGUAAUCCGCUCCCCUUUCUAACUCACUGUGUGGUACCACAUCAAGACGUAAGCGGCUAGCAGAAACCUCAAAAUUGAAAUCACAACUUCUUUACAAAUUAACGCUAUUACAUUAAAAGUCUUAGGAAUAGGCAGCUUAGAUUAAGACACCUCCACCUUCAGACUCCUUAGCACUGCAACACAUCAUCACAGGUGUCUUGGGAAACUUAGUUCAAGAUUUUAGAAUACUGUGAAGUCCAGAGAACAUAUUUCUCUGGGGUUUUACUGAUCCUGAUUCUCUCUGAAAUCGUUUUUUCCUACUUUGCCUCUUGCCUGGAAUAUGAGUAACAAUCUCCUUGUAUGUUCUUAGAUAUUUCUUUAGGAAAAAUGAAAGCCAGCUCAAGGACAUUGUGUUUAUUGACUGGGCAAAAUAGAUUUCUGGGCCAAGUAAUGUCACAGUCAUAUAGAGGCAAACCUGAUGACUUUAUUUAAAAGCAAUUAUAAGUGUUAUGUUUUGUUCUAAAGCUCAAGCUCACAUCGUGCAAACUACAUUCACGUUUCAUUUUCAUUACUUAUGAUAAUUGUUUACAUGCACACAUAUGCACCCCAUCCCUGACACACACGCAAAUACAUCUACACCCCUCUUGGUCCAAUAUGAUCCAACAAGUCAAUGUGGGCUUUCUGUUUUUCCCAAUGAGCCCUGUGUUAAUGUAUGUGCAAAUAAGUGUGCUCCAGGUAUGUGGCCUCUUAAAUUUAUCUAUAGUUCAUCUCUCUCUCUCUCUCUUUUUUUUUGUAAUUAUCACACAGCUUUUGACUUUUUUUUACUAUGAGUCAUUUAUGGAGUUGGGGUUUUUCAAAGGAGACUAAAUCCUAAGUUUUCAGAGCCUUUAUAUUUAAAGGCUGGACUAGUUUUCGAGGAGAAACACCAAACCAAACCAAACCUUGGUGCAGAUUUUAUUUAAUUAAUUUUGGGGGAUGGGGGUGGGAAAGCUUGAAGAAUACAUACUAAGUACAGAAAUAAAUGUGAAUUAGUUCAAACAGAUUCCUGAAGCUAUCUUGGAGCUGAAGCAGUUAGGUAGAAAACUCAAACAUUCAGAUUGAAUCAGAACUUGGGAAAGAAUCAGAUCUUCCCUUUCCAUGGGACAUGAAAGGCAUCCUGAGUUGGAAGUGAGCAGACUGGACUGGGUGUUACUUGGUGGGUGACUGGGCACAGGUCACUUCAGUUAUCCUGGCCAAGUGGAAGUGUCCUUAGUACAAGGGGGCAGCCAGGCUGCCAGUUGCAGACUAGCCGCCUCUCUGGUUCCAGUGAAGGGGCAAGCCGAUCCACUUCACCCACUGCUCUGAUCAGGAUCAAUAAAGCAUGUUUCAAGUCUCCUCUAGAACAAGUGUGCACACUCUACAGAGUCACCCCCCUUUCAUUGUGCAGACAGUUCACCUGCCAUGGAAAGCUGUCCAGACUCUGAACUCCUGUGGUCCUUCCAAUGUCCCUGAAUCCACCCCUUAAAGGCUGGCUUUUAUCUCUGAAAAAUCAGGGGAAGCCCUCUGAGCCCAUCUCCCUCUUCCCUCACCUGAGCAUCAGCCUCACUUGUGACUGAGCCUAUGUUUCUGGAGGAGAAAACAGUGUGCUCUCACAGCCAUCCUUCAGUCUCUUUCCAGCUCUGUGGACCAAGUGAUUAGCUCCUCAUUAGCACCUCAUCAGUUGCUCUUGCACAAGAGACUCUGGAACAACAAGCCUAUUAUAAUGCUGUAGUCUGUCUUUUUGAAGUCAUCCCUUCCUUCCGGCUUGGUUGGGAAAGGAGAGCCUGCCACAAACAGCUUUUCCUUCAAAUUUUUCUGGCUUUUUUCCCUGACUUUUAAAUACACUGGUAAAUGACAAACCAUGGUUUUCUUUUUUGUUUUCCAGGCCCCUACCUAUGUGAGUACACUUUGCCCCUAUCAAAUAGGAGCGCAAUAUGUCAGCAAAGUCUUUAUUUAUUUAGCGAGUGGCUAUAAUAUUGACACAAAGAUUUGCAGCAUCUAAAUCUUGAAGGGAAUAAAAGGCUUUUUCUAUCAAAUGAGAUCUUUACUGUGAUAGCACGAGAAAGGUUUAUACCAUAAGAACAGAAAUGAACCUGAGAACAUGCUCCCUCUUUAGGGAACAAUGUGGUAGAAGAAAUCACUGGAGAAAUCACCGGAACACUAGACCCUCUAUUCCACAGAUCAUUAUGUAUGAAUAGAUGCUUCAACUCUGUCCUUGACAUGGCUCUGAAAACACAAUAAUGAACAAUGAUCAACUCUUCACAUUUACUAUUAAAACAAUUUCAUCAUGCCUAACCCAACCCCUAUUUUUUAAAAAUACAAUUUUUUCAUAAUUCUGGGGAUAGUUCAAUAUUGUUGUUUUCUUUCCUGGGCGCCUUCUAAUAUUUUCAAUACAAUUUCUAAUUUUUUUCACUUUUAUUUCUUUAGGAAAGACAUGGGGUCAAUUUUAAAUACUGUCUAUGAUUAAAAUGGGGAGUGAAGUGGAGGAGGAUGAUGGGCCUAGGAGAGAGGGGACCUCUGAGCUCUACUUCUGCUGAAAAGCAUUAUCCCUUCUGUGCCUCAGUUUCUUAAUCAACAAAAAAGCUGCUAACAACCCCUUUCCUGUCACAGAGGCUUAUAAUGAGCACCUAAUGAGGUCAUAGCUGUCAAAGUGCUUGUGAGCACCAUAGGACCCACUCUUGGGCUGUGAGUGUUGCAAAUAGGCUUGCUGGUGCUGAGCUGUGAGCUGCUCUGUAAUGUGCCUUGUUUUGAGGUGCACAAAAAGCUUUUCCUUCAAAUUUCUGAAAUCCCUCCUGCAGUCUGGUUUCUAGAAUUAUAGCAUUGGCAAUUUUCUCUUUGAAUGAUGACCAUUGAGCAUUGAGAGAUGGAGAAUACCUUUACAAAAAUACAAGCAGAAAGAGGACAGCUUACCCAUUCAUCCCUCAUUGAAGAGGGAUUGUUGGUAGGUUUUGUUUUCAGGCCUGGAACCCUGGACAUUUUAUAGCAAAAUGGCAUCUCCUGUUGCAUUUAACUCUGUAUCAUAUUGCUGAUUUUAUGAAAUUCUGUAGAUUUAAGUGUAAAGUUUUUUUAACUGAAGACUAUAGAAAGCUUCCUGUAUAAAUUAGGUGGUAAAACUAAUUUUUCAGGAGGCACCCAAAGUAAUAAUGAACCUGAAGUAGUAUUAUGUUCAUUCUGGGGCCAGCAUUUUGUACAUGGGGAAAUAACCCUAAGAUAGAAUGAACUGCUUGAGUGAAAACCAAAUGCUAAACCACACUUCUGAUAGCCUUGAGCACCAACAAAUAGGUGUGAGUGGGAUUCCCACUGAGAAAUGCAUCUGAUUGAAAAUGAACCUCCUUCCCCCCCUUCAACAGUAAAUCCUGAGGCCAGAUUGCCAAGGUUACAGCAGUGAAGUCAUUUACAGGCCCUAAAAAAAUCCUAGGUGUUUGUAACAUCAGCCACUAUUUUAAGUACUUUGCAAAUGGUGACUAGUUGGCAAGUUAAAUCUUUGGAGUGUGAUUUCCUUUAGAUCUCCAAGCCACAACCAGGUGUGAUGUAACUAAGAGCUGUGGAUGAUUUUAAAAAAGGGGGAGUCACUCCAAAAAGGAAUCAUAAUAAAGCCGAAUACCUGAAAUCCUAACAAAUCUACAAAUACUUUGCUCAAGUUCAGGCUUCUCAUUUUUGUUUGUUUUAUAUAGGGCUCCAUUUUUGUUUGUUUUAUAUAGAAAAGCAACAUCUUCAUGUUGGACCUCUGUCCAGAUGAUUUUCCCCCUGUAGCUGUCUAGCAGACAGAAAGCAUUUCAGCUUUCUUUGAAAUGAGAGUCCAAAUUGGGUUAUGACUAGGAUUUUAAAUUAUGGUGUGAAAUUGGAGAAUGCAAACUGGUUUAGGGCAGAGUUCCAUAAUUCAUUCUGAUAAUCCUGAGGCGGUAACCUCCUUCACAGUAUUGUGGAGGCCUGCCUUGAACAAGUCGUUUCAGUGUGUAACUUCCUAGUGACAAGGCUGAUUAUUUAAGGAUUUCAGAGGCAUCUUUUGAGAAAUACCUCACUGGAUAUGGAAAAUUUGAUCUAAUAUGUUAACAAGAACAAGAAGAACUUAUUUUAAUGCUUUUUUCCCCUUUCCUCUCUCUGAGAAUUUAGCCUUUCUCGGAGGCCAUUGGGAUAUUUCCUUUUCAAGGCUGGAAAAGAUUGAUUAUAGUUCAUGUCUGAAAGCAAAAGUUCCCCCAAGCCCAGUGGAGUUGGAGGCAACCAAAAUGACCCAUGUUAAUUUCCUGUGGCCCCACAGAGUCAAGGACCCUUCUUGUUUAUGUGUGUGGGCUAUGGCAGGUGAGCUCAAGGGCAUUGUCAAAAUACAAUGAAAAGAAAGCAAGUCAGGACAAGAAAACUCUCACAUUGAAUAUGAGAGAAAACAGCAGUCCUGCUUUCUCUGGAAAAGAUUUGUGUACUAUUAAGGGAAGAUUCAUGUUCUUUCUCAAAUAGGUUUCACUUCUAAGAUUUUGUGUGUGUGUGUGUGUGUGUGUGUGUGUGUGUGUGUGUUGGCUGAAAGGGGGUAUGGGGCCAGUUAGGAAGUAGUUACGAUUAUGAAUUUAGAUCUUCUCUCAAACACAGUAAAAGCUCUGCUCUGUUUCUCAAAAUGAGACAAUAUAAUUAGGUGUGGAGAGGAAUUCAGGGACCAUGUUCCAGUAUGUGGUAUAGUUUUAUCCAAAUAUUUCCUUCAGGAACAUUUAAUCACAGCAAGCCAAAUUAAUCCCAUGUCUGUAACUGGUAUUGGGAAAAAGAAGCCAGUGGGCAAUUUCUGCAGCCCCUAGCUGCAUCCAUUUGUAGUCUUCUUUUCUAAGAGUUAGGUGUCCUGGAAUCACACGAGGGAAUAUGCUGGUAGGGAAUGAAUGGGGAGGAAGUUUGAAGAGUUUCCCACUGGUGUUAUGGCAAUGCAUUAACUCUGUCUUGCUAGAAAACUAGGGCCACUUAGGGGCUACUCUCAUUUAAAAUGGCAAUAGUAGUUCAAAUGUCUCAUUUAAAAAGAGACAUUUAGGGAUCCCUGGGUGGCGCUGCGGUUUGGCGCCUGCCUUUGGCCCAGGGCACGAUCCUGGAGACCCGGGAUCGAAUCCCACAUCGGGCUCCCGGUGCAUGGAGCCUGCUUCUCUCUCUGCCUGUGUGUCUGCCUCUCUCUCUCUCUGUCUGUGA
rnacentral:lncRNA from 1 species